AUUGAACGCUGGCGGCAUGCCUUACACAUGCAAGUCGAACGGUAACAGGUUAAGCUGACGAGUGGCGAACGGGUGAGUAAUACAUCGGAACGUGCCCAGUAGUGGGGGAUAGCCCGGCGAAAGCCGGAUUAAUACCGCAUACGACCUAAGGGUGAAAGGGGGGGAUCGCAAGACCUCUCGCUAUUGGAGCGGCCGAUGUCAGAUUAGCUAGUUGGUGGGGUAAAAGCUCACCAAGGCGACGAUCUGUAGCUGGUCUGAGAGGACGACCAGCCACACUGGGACUGAGACACGGCCCAGACUCCUACGGGAGGCAGCAGUGGGGAAUUUUGGACAAUGGGCGCAAGCCUGAUCCAGCCAUGCCGCGUGCGGGAAGAAGGCCUUCGGGUUUAAACCGCUUUUGUCAGGGAAGAAAUCCUUUGGGUUAAUACCUCGGGGGGAUGACGGUACCUGAAGAAUAAGCACCGGCUAACUACGUG
rnacentral:rRNA from 1 species